rnacentral:rRNA from 1 species
UACGUAGGGUGCAGGCGUUAAUCGGAAUUACUGGGCGUAAAGCGUGCGCAGGCGGUUUGCUAAGACAGGUGUGAAAUCCCCGGGCUUAACCUGGGAACUGCGCUUGUUACUGGCAAGCCGGAGUGUGGCAGAGGGGGGUGGAAUUCCACGUGUAGCAGUGAAAUGCGUAGAGAUGUGGAGGAACACCGAUGGCGAAGGCAGCCCCCUGGGCUAACACUGACGCUCAUGCACGAAAGCGUGGGGAGCAAACAGG